GGCCCCAUCGUCUAACCCGGUCAGGACACAGGGUUUUCAUCCCUGCGAUGCGGGUUCAAAUCCCGCUGGGGUCA
rnacentral:tRNA from 1 species